GAGCCAAGAGUAACAAAGGGAGCCCGCGGCCGGGUUUGUUUGGAUUGCCCGGGCGGCGCGGGAGCGGCCGGGCGCAGCUGACCACGGGUACAGAUAGGUUAAUUUCCACAUGGAGCGGCAGAAACCCAAUCCGCGGGUUGCGAAGCGUGGGUCAGCCAAGGCACGUUAAUCUGUUUAGCAUGUGCGCCGCGCGGAGGAGCCAGACCACCGGGGCGCAGGAGGCGCGGCCGCAGCCGCGCUGCUCCGGGGGAGUUAAUAAAGAGCUUAAGCAUCGCGUUCUGUUGGACAGAGAGCCCCAGGACUGUCAGACGGCGAAGGGUUAGGAAGUGCGCGCAGCCUCGCCGACCCCUGCCCAGUCCGAGAACCAGAGCUGUUGUCGAUCGAGGGCCCGGCCGUUGCGCCCGGGGCGCGCGGGCCUCGCUGAGUCGCGACGAGUCCCUGCGCCUCCUCCCAGACGCGGCGCCACCGAGAGAGAGACCACCGGCUCCCGCUUCAUUUCAGGGGCUGACAAGGGGAAAACACUACUGCGCCCCUGGCCGAAGGAGGUAAACCAAGUAGAAAGGGCGAUCAAAAAUUAAUUUGGUGCACUGCUCGGGAGCAGCACCCUGUCAAAACCCUACGGAGACGUUGGCACAAGCGGCAAACGGAUUCACAGACAAAGGAAAACAAUACAAGUCUCGUUAGAUCAUUUUUCUGGACAUUGUUUAAGGUCUGAAAGGGACCAAAUCGUUUCAAAAUGUUGCCAGUAAAAAUUAUCCUAUGUGGAAUGCAACUAAUCCUUUUAGGUUCCUGUCAACUGUUUCCACAAAAGGAAUCCGAUUUUUCAAAUCAAAGAUCCAAAAGUCUUUGGGGAGAGAUUUAUUACAUGCCAGAGCUUUAGUUACAGAAUAGAGUUACAAUAACAACUCGCACCCACCAACUCCCCAAAAUAAGGGAUCCCAUCCCACGCAGUUCUAAUGACGUGUGGGGGAUGGUUGCUGGAGUCCUGCUAAAUAUGCAGAUAGGAGGAGAGUGGGGGAAGGGGGAGGAAGGCAAAGAAAUAUUAAAUUCCUUAAAUAGACCAACAGAACACAGCGCCUCAACAUUUUAUUUUUGUUCUCCGUACCCCUGGUUCCUUUUGAAGAGGAAAACAAGACCCAAACUUGGUGACCUGCCCCCUCAGUUUAGAACUUUAAGGUGAGCUUAAUGCUUGAGUACUGAAAAACUCUUCCGAACCCUGACUUCUCUGAGUUUGCAUAGUAGUGUGUCUACAGUGUCUGCAAGUGGAAAAUAUUUAAAAGUGAGAAAAGAAUACAAGAAAAUAUUUUUUCUUUAAAAUUUAAAAAAACUUAUUUUAAAGUUUUUCUUUGAUUUGGAAUACAAUGUUUAAGAACAAGAAAAAAGUGCCCCAGGGCUUUUCACUGUGCCUCCGUAUCUGAGUCUUUCCACAAACGCAUGUGAACAUAAACGCAUUCCUUGCAGAUCACAGUCUCAGUUCACCGUAGUGUGAGCAUUUUGUGCUGAGCCUGAUCAUGAAGAUCCUCCGCCUCCUUUUCAGUUCUUCACUGAUUAGAACUGGUGGCUAGGGUAAGACUGAUGGGUAAACGAUUGGUAGAAAGCCUUAAAAACUUGAGAAGAAACUCAAAUUCCUAGUUCUCUGAGUGGAGGAAUUUUGUGCCUCCAUACCACAUAGGCACCUAUCUCUUUUAGGUGCUUUGUGAGUGAACUGCCACACCAGAAAGAUAGUUUCAAGAAGCAACCUAAGUUUAGUUUACAGACAAUUGAGUUUGGGUUUGUUUUUUUUUUUUAAUGGUUUUGUUAAGUGGAGAAGUGAAAAAAGAUCUUCCUAGCCUUCCCUCCACCCCAUUGUUUGCUGCUGAAAUGGCUCGUUCCUCUUGCUGCGUGAGUGUGUUUCUGUUAUUAGAGGCAACUUGGUGGUGGGAAUUCUUGCGUUUGUUCCCUGUAUUUAAAUUGGGAAUAAAGGGAUUUGCAGUGUAGCA
rnacentral:lncRNA from 1 species